AAUGUUGGAACAGGCUCAAGGA
rnacentral:miRNA from 1 species